UACGAAGGGGGCGAGCGUUGUUCGGAUUUACUGGGCGUAAAGGGCGCGCAGGCGGCCAUUCAAGUCAGGCGUGAAAGCCCCGGGCUUAACCUGGGAGGUGCGUCUGGGACUGGGUGGCUAGAGAUCGGGAGAGGAGAGUGGAAUUCCCAGUGUAGAGGUGAAAUUCGUAGAUAUUCGCAAGAACACCAGUGACGAAGGCGGCUCACUGGCCCGGUACUGACGCUGAGGUGCGAAAGCGUGGGGAGCAAACAGG
rnacentral:rRNA from 1 species